AGUGAACGCUGGCGGCGUGCCUAAUACAUGCAAGUCGAACGGCGUGGCGCACGGGUGAGUAAUGUAUAGCUAAUCUGCCCUACACUAGAGGACAACAGUUGGUAACGGCUGCUAAUACUCUAUAGUGUAGGAUGAGGCUACAUUGUAUCAGCUAGUUGGUGAGGUAAUGGCUCACCAAGGCUAUGACGCAUAACUGGUCUGAGAGGAUGAUCAGUCACACUGGAAGUGAGACACGGGCCGGACUCCUGCGGGAGGCAGCAGAAGGGAAAAGUGCUCAAUGGGGGAAACCCUGAAGCAGCAACGCCGCGUGGAGGAUGACACUUUUCGGAGCGUAAACUCCUUUUGUUAGGGAAGCGGUACCUAACGAAUAAGCACCGGCUAACUCCGUGCCAGCCGCCGCGGUAAUAC
rnacentral:rRNA from 1 species